AAAUUUGAAGUCCAGAAAAACGACUUAAGUAUUUUAGUAUAAGUAUAUCCCAUGUAGUAUUUGGGAUAUACUUAUACUAAAAAUUUUGUUGUUUAUCUGAGAUUCAGUUUAAC
rnacentral:pre_miRNA from 14 species